ACUUGCCAUUCUAUCACAGCUCGGUCUGGAGACAAUGCACCACAGUUCAUUGGUUGUUCUGGAAACAUUAAUUUAAAUAUUAACAGCCAACCUCAUGAUACUGGUGUGAAUGGUGUGUGUGCCCAACAGCUGUUGAGGAAAUAUUUUUGCCGCUUUUCCUCCUUGUCCCUUUUACGUGGGUGAAGUUGUAUUUGCAGCAAUGAUGUUGAAGAAACACUCAGAGUCAAUAGUUGUUAAUUACAAAUCUUUAGUUUAAAAUAAAACUGAUUCAUCUGGGGGAUUUGUGUGGUCUGUGCAAGACGCUUCAAGAGACCAGAGAAUUCCAAAGUAACAGUAGGAAAUAUCCUAGCCUUUAUACAAUAUAGCUAACCAAUCAUUUGUCAUACAAACAUCACAUUGUCUCUCUUAACCUGCCUUAAUAUUUUCUGUCACUCUAUGAAAGCUGAGCUGUCCUAACCCCUCAUCUCUGCAAUGAGUUAGGCCGCCUGGCCUGCAGACCAAAUGAAAACACUUUGGAACUAAUGUUAUGCACAGCUCAAUAUGUUUGAACAGACACACAGUUUUAAUAAAUUAUGCUGAUUUAUUAAUUUUAACAAGAUUAAAAUUAUCCUUUAAAGAU